UACAGAGGUCUCAAGCGUUGUUCGGAUUCAUUGGGCGUAAAGGGUGCGUAGGUGGCGCUGUAAGUCGGGUGUGAAAUUUCGGAGCUUAACUCCGAAACUGCAUUCGAUACUGCGGUGCUUGAGGGACUGGAGAGGAGACUGGAAUUCAUGGUGUAGCAGUGAAAUGCGUAGAGAUCAUGAGGAAGACCAGUGGCGAAGGCGGGUCUCUGGACAGUUCCUGACACUGAGGCACGAAGGCCAGGGGAGCAAACGGG
rnacentral:rRNA from 1 species